rnacentral:rRNA from 1 species
UACGUAGGGUGCGAGCGUUGCUCGGAAUGACUGGGCGUAAAGGGCGCGUAGGCGGAUUGCUUUGUCGGGCGUGAAAUUCCAGGGCUUAACCUUGGGGCUGCGUUCGAGACGGGUGAUCUUGAGUUCGGAAGAGGGUCGUGGAAUUCCCAGUGUAGAGGUGAAAUUCGUAGAUAUUGGGAAGAACACCGGUGGCGAAGGCGGCGACCUGGUCCGAGACUGACGCUGAGGCGCGAAAGCGUGGGGAGCAAACAGG